rnacentral:rRNA from 1 species
GACGAACGCUGGCGGCGUGCUUAACACAUGCAAGUCGAACGAUGAUCAGGAGCUUGCUCCUGUGAUUAGUGGCGAACGGGUGAGUAACACGUGAGUAACCUGCCCCUGACUCUGGGAUAAGCGUUGGAAACGACGUCUAAUACUGGAUAUGAUCACUGGCCGCAUGGUCUGGUGGUGGAAAGAUUUUUUGGUUGGGGAUGGACUCGCGGCCUAUCAGCUUGUUGGUGAGGUAAUGGCUCACCAAGGCGACGACGGGUAGCCGGCCUGAGAGGGUGACCGGCCACACUGGGACUGAGACACGGCCCAGACUCCUACGGGAGGCAGCAGUGGGGAAUAUUGCACAAUGGGCGAAAGACUGAUGCAGCAACGCCGCGUGAGGGAUGACGGCCUUCGGGUUGUAAACCUCUUUUAGUAGGGAAGAAGCGAAAGUGACGGUACCUGCAGAAAAAGCACCGGCUAACUACGUG